UGUCAUAGCCAUGGGCUUUAGGACUCAGUAUCAUGAUCUAUAUAGCACUACUCCUCAUCUAUCGAGGUCGAUAGAUCCCAUCUGGUGUACAUCCUAUUCCUAUAAUUAGCCUACUGCAGCAAACAUACACCUCAAGAUUUUAUAUAGCUAAGAGAUAGAGUUAUGGUGUAGUCAAACUACAGCAAUCUCAGUGUGAAUAGUCGAGACACCAC
rnacentral:lncRNA from 1 species